rnacentral:rRNA from 1 species
UACGUAGGGGGCUAGCGUUGUCCGGAUUUAUUGGGCGUAAAGAGCGUGUAGGCGGCCAGGUAGGUCUGGUGUGAAAACUCGAGGCUUAACCUUGAGAUGUCAUCGGAAACCAUUUGGCUAGAGUCCGGAAGAGGAAAGUGGAACUCCUGGUGUAGCGGUGAAAUGCGCAGAUAUCAGGAAGAACACCCGUGGCUAAGGCGGCUCUCUAGUACGGUACUGACGCUGAGACGCGAAAGCGUGGGGAGCGAACAGG